UGUGCGCACGCGGAGCGCGCGGAAGCCGGGCGGGGAGGGAGGGGCGCCCGCCCGCCGGUCCCCUUCCCGGGACUGGCAGGCCCCGCCUUUCAUCUUUUCAUCGUUUGGAGCCCCUUCCCCGGAAAUCCCGAUGUCUGCUGCACACGGGUCUCUACCGGUUAGGGAUUAAGAGUGAGUCGGCAGGAGUCAAACAGAGUGAGAAGGCUUAAUUCACAGGCCCCUGGACACUGAACGUGAGAGGGUAGAAGAAAGGCUUUUUUCCUCCUCUGCUGACCUAAAGGAAAUAAUACGGAAUAUUGGAACAAGUGCUGAUCAAAGAGGUUAAAGGGAAGCAUCUCUGGAAUGCCUCCUGAGCCAGGCAUCACGACAGGUGGAGCUCCCAAGACACAGUCUCUGCCCAUCAGAGUUCAUCCUGCGUGGAAGACACACGCUGACAGGCAGAGGCCAGUUUCCAGCCAGCUGUGCGGGGGCUCAGGGGCCACGGCGUGGGGAGCCCUCCGGAGGCCGAGAGCUGAUGGGCGUCUGAUGUACCUGCUGGACACUGGCUUUUGGCUAUAAAAUUUGCAGAAAAAAAGACAGAGAAAGCUAGAGAAAUGCUAGUCUAUCACUACCAUCUGGAGCUCGAAGCAGGAAAAAAAGACUACGUCGAUAGAGGGGAAGGAGGGAGAAGAGGUGGAAGAGAGAAAGAGAGAGAAACACAGGCAGACAGACACCAACUUGAAUCAGAAAGCAAAUAGACCCGUGCUCCCCAGGGGCCUCACCAAAAGCAGAAAGAAGAUAUAUUAAUAGACAGAGCUGAGUUGAUGACAUCGACAAUGAAAACAGUAUUGCAAAGAGCCUGAAAGUAAUCUAGUUGCAGAGUCAUCUAUCAAAACAGCUCCCUGCUUGCAUGUACACGGAUGACGGCUGCAGCACUGCCCGAAAUGGCAUAAGCCCUGCCACUCCUCAGAAGUCCAUCACAGGAGGGAGGGAAAGAGGACAUGUGGAGAACGGUAACAUUUUGGACCCCGGUCCACAGACUACAUUUUGAGAAGUCUUCCCUAAUGUGCUUACUUUGAACUCUGACCCAGUGAAGUUGCCAAACAAAUCACUACCAGAAUUCUCUCAUCCUUGACAUUUGGGAGGGUCCACAUAAACAAUGCACAGGAACCAGCACAGGAAAAAGGAGCUUGGUGAUGUAAUCAAACGAAACGUUAACAAAUUAUUCUCUGCAGAUGGCGACACCGGCGCUUGAAGCUCAGCUUGUCACUUCCUAGCUGUGUGAGCCUGGGCAAGUUAGUUAAUAUCUCCAGGCCACCAUUUCCCCCUGUGAAAUGGGAAUACCACCCUCUUCAUAAGGCUCUUGUGAGGAUUAGAGUAAAUAAUUCCUUUCGAGAGUGCCUGCCCCACAGUGGCACCCAAUACAUAUCCUCAGCUUAGCUCACUCUCUAAUUCCUCUGUCAAAGGACUCCACCCCAGGUCCCUGAGGACCCCAGAGCAUCUUUCCUUCUUCUCAGUCUCUUUAUUUCCGUCGUGGGGUUGGGACACCACUCCUGGUACUUUCUCCUCCUCCUCCUCAGAGAAGAGUGGGCCCACCAGGAGCUUCCAGGCCCCCAGAGCUGUUCAGGAGGGAGGGCGCGGCCUAACUCUCCUGAGAAGAUUCAGUGAAAUCACUUCGUAAACUGGAAGGCGCAAUGCAAAUGUGAGCAAUCACUCACGGUUCAGCCACUAUUUAUUGGGUCCUUCCUCACGAGAUGCCCUCAGUGGGAGACAGAACUAAGGGAAAAAAAGAGGCCUCCACCAAGCUUGCCACCUGCUAGCAAGCCGUGCAUUUUGUGAGGCCCCCCGGUGUUUGAAGAGCAGAACCUGGCUCCCGUGUGUUCACCAGCAAAAGCAAGCAGGGAGGAAGAGAAAAGACAAUUUGUGAAGAAGCUUCUAGUAUAACUUGUGAGGCAGCCACAGGGCAGGCAGCUCAGGCUCUGGCAGGAACUAUUGGAAAGGAUCCCACCCAACCAAUUCCAGUAACUGUCCAGCUAGCUCUUGUCCUCCCAUCCAGACCUGGAGCGGCAGGACCACCACCUGGCAGUGGGCCUCGCCGACCUGGCUCGGGCGACCCAGUGUGGAGCCUCCUGUGGGCCUGUUCUAGGCUCAGGGAGCCAGGUGGAGGUGGCCGGGGCCCAGGGCUGGACACCCCCC